GAUGAACGCUAGCGGCAGGCCUAACACAUGCAAGUCGAGGGGGAAGUUACUUUCGGGUGACUGAGACCGGCGUACGGGUGCGUAACGCGUAUACAAUCUGCCUUUCACUGGGGGAUAGCCCGAAGAAAUUUGGAUUAAUACCCCAUAGUAUAUAGGGACGGCAUCGUUUUUAUAUUAAAGCUUAGGUGGUGAAAGAUGAGUAUGCGUUCUAUUAGCUAGUUGGAGAGGUAACGGCUCCCCAAGGCGAUGAUAGAUAGGGGUUCUGAGAGGGAUGUCCCCCACACUGGUACUGAGAUACGGACCAGACUCCUACGGGAGGCAGCAGUGAGGAAUAUUGGACAAUGGUCGGAAGACUGAUCCAGCCAUGCCGCGUGCAGGAUGAAGGCCUUAUGGAUUGUAAACUGCUUUUGUAAGGGAAGAAUAAGGGCUACGCGUAGUUUGAUGACGGUACCUUACGAAUAAGCAUCGGCUAACUCCGUG
rnacentral:rRNA from 1 species